AUUCCAGCUGAUCCUGCUGGCGGGUACUGCAUUCGGAUUGCCACUUAGACAUGCAAGUCCAUCCGUGGAGCUAUGUCCACGGUUGGCGUACGGCUCAGUAACACGUCGUCAACCUGCCGUCGCGAGGCGUUAAACCUGGGAAACUGGGGGUAAUACGCCGCAGUCCCUUCCAUCUGGAACGAGGGAGGGAUGAUAGGAUGCACCCGCAUGCUGGGUGUAAUCGCGCGUCGAUGGGACGGCGGCCGAUUAGCUUGUUGGCGGGGUAACGGCCCACCAAGGCGACGAUCGGUACGGGCCUUGAGAGAGGUAGCCCGGAGAGGGGAACUGAGAUAAGGUCCCCAGCCCUAAGGGGUGCAGCAGUUAGGAAACCUCUACACUGCGCGCAAGCGCGAUAGGGGUCAUCCGAGUGCCGACACUGUCGGCUUUUGCCAAAUGUAAACAGUUUGGCGAAUAAAGGGGGGGUAAGAUACGUGCCAGCCGCCGCGGUAAUACGUACUCCCUAAGUGGUACCCACGUAUAUUGGGCCUAAAGCGUUCGUAGCCGGCUCCCUAAGUCCUUGGUGAAAAGGGCGCGCCCAACGCGUCCAAUGGCUAAGGAUACUGCGGGGCUUCGAGGUCAUAAGAGGUCAAGGGAAUUACGGGGGUAACGGUGAAAUGUUGUGAUGCCCGUAGGACCACCAGUAGCGAAGGCGCUUGACCAGGAUGAUCCUGACGGUGAGGAACGAAAGCGGGGGGAGCGACCCGGAUUAGAUACCCGGUUAGUCCCCGCCCUCAACGAUGUGGACUAGGUGUGCGGUUUCCCACGAGGACUCCGCGUGCCGUCGCGAAGGCAUUAAGUCCACCGCCUGGGAAGUACACUCGCAAGGGUGAAACUUAAAGGAAUUGGCGGGAGCUCACUACAAGGGGUGGAGGCUGCGGUUUAAUUGGAUACAACGCCGGACAACUCACCCGGGGUGACAGCAGGAUGAUGGUCAGUCUGAAGGGCUUACCUGACACGCUGAGAGGUACUGUAUGGCCACUUGCAGCUCGUACUGUGAAGCGUCCUGUUAACUCAGGCAACGGGCGAGACCCUCAGGAUUAGUUGCUAGUUUUCUCUACGGAGGAGGCGCACUCUAAUCCGACUGCGGUUGUAAAACCGAGGAAGGAGAGGGCCACAGUAGGUCUGUAUAGUCCGAAUCUCCGGGGCCACACGCGGCCUACAAUGGUAGUGACAAUGAGUUCCGAGCCCGAAAGGGUAAGGUAAUCCCCUAACCACUACCGCAGUUCAGAUCGAGGGUUGAAACUCACCCUCGUGAACGCCUGGAAUCCCCAGUAAUCGCGUGUCACUAACGCGCGGUGAAUUCGUCCCUGAGCUUUGCACACACCGCCCAUCAAGCCAGCUGAGUAAUGUCUAGAUGAGGCCUCGGAAAUCAUUCCGGGUUCGAUUCUGGAUAUCGCGAGGCGGGCUAAGUUGUAACAAGGUGUCCGUAGGGGAACCUGCGGACGGAUCACCUCCU
rnacentral:rRNA from 1 species